rnacentral:rRNA from 1 species
UACGGAGGGUGCGAGCGUUGUCCGGAUUUAUUGGGUUUAAAGGGUACGUAGGCGGUAUAUUAAGUCAGUGGUGAAAUUCUGCAGCUCAACUGUAGGCGUGCCAUUGAUACUGGUAUACUUGAGUGUUGUAAGGGUGGGCGGAAUUCCGCAUGUAGCGGUGAAAUGCAUAGAUAUGCGGAGGAACACCGAAAGCGAAGGCAGCUCACUAGGCAACAACUGACGCUGAGGUACGAAAGCGUGGGGAGCGAACAGG